AGAACUAUUGCUAAAGGAUAUUAUAAUAAAAACCCAGGCUACUGAAUUAUUUAAAACUAUAAGAUUGCAGUCGUUAAACUAAUUUUUAUUUUAUUUAUUUAUUUGAGACAGGGUCUUGUUCUGUCACCUAGGCUGGAGUACAGUAGUGUGAUCAUAGUUCACUGCAGCCUCGACCUCCCGGACUCAAGCAAUCCUCCCACCUCUGCUGACCAAGUAGCUGGGACUACAGACAUGUGCCACCAUGCCUCACUAAGGGAGAAGAAAAGCAUAAGGAAAAGAGGAGGAUUGUUAUAGUGCCAUCAUGUGGAUACUUUGUUUUCUUCAAAUGUAACUUUUUAUAAUAGAAACUAGAAAACCCAGCCAUCCCACACCCAGGCUGUGCAAAGAAAUUGGAGCCAAAGGUUUUUUUUGCCAUGUUCUGAAAAGCCUACUUUCAAAGCCAUCGCCUAUAAUCCUUUUUCAGAUCAUAACGACUCUGCUUUCAAAACCAGGUAAGGGCAAUGCAGACAUAAUUUAUCCUUUUUCCUUAUUGCUAACAGGAGUUAUAAUGAUAACAUCAGACGUACUGUCAUAAAGUAAAUUGCCCUUUUCUUUAAAAUCUUAGUAUUCAGCCUAUUUUCAAAGUCAUCACCUAUAAUCCUUUUUCAGAUCAUAACCACUCUGCUUUCAAAACCAGGUAAGGGCAAUGCAGACACAAUUUAUCCUUUUUCUAACAGGAGUUACAAUGAUAACAUCAGACCCACUAUCUUUCCAUUUGGGCUGCCAUAACAAAAUGCUGUAGAUUGGGUGGCUUAUAAACAACAGACAUUUGGUCGGGUGCAGUGGCUCACGCCUGUAAUCCCAGCACUUUGGGAGGCCGAGGCGGGCGGAUCAGGAGAUCAAGACCAUCCUGGCUGACACAGUGAAACCCCGUCUCUACUAAACAUAC
rnacentral:lncRNA from 1 species